UAAAUAAAAUAAGGGAAAAUUACUUUUUAGUCCCUGAGGUAUAGCGUAAUUAACAUAUUCGUCCCUCUAUUUUUAGAACCCAACGCUUUCAUCCCUGAGGUUUAAUUCCGUCAAAAUUAGAGGUCCCUCCGUCAAAAAUGCCGUUAGUGAUAGGAAAAAUGACCGAAUUACCCUUUCUAGAACUCAAUACUUUAGUCCCUGAAAUUUAAUUCCUACAAAUUUAUAGGUCCCUCUCUCAAAGAAUUGAAGGAAAAAUACAUUUUUGUCCCUAAGAUAUUACAUAAUUAACAUAUUUGUCCCUCUAUUUUUUUGAAUUCAACAUUUUAGUCCCUAAAGUCUAAUUUCGUCAAAAUUCAAGGAAGAAAAUCUCAAAC
rnacentral:lncRNA from 1 species